CUACGGGAGGCUCCAGUGAGGAAUAUUGCACAAUGGAGGAAACUCUGGUGCAGCAACGCCGCGUGGAGGAUGACGCAUUUCGGUGUGUAAACUCCUUUUAUAUGUCAAGAAAAUGACGGUAGCAUAUGAAUAAGCACCGGCUAACUCCGUGCCAGCAGCCGCGGUAAUACGGAGGGUGCAAGCGUUACUCGGAAUCACUGGGCGUAAAGGACGCGUAGGCGGGAUAUCAAGGAAGGUGUGAAAUCCUACAGCUUAACUGUAGAACUGCACUUGAAACUGGUAACCUAGAGUAUGGGAGGGGGAGAUGGAAUUAGUGGUGUAGGGGUAAAAUCCGUAGAUAUCACUAGGAAUACCUAAAGCGAAGGCGAUCUCCUGGAACAUAACUGACGCUAAGGCGUGAAAGCGUGGGGAGCAAACAGGAUUAGAUACCCUCGUAGUC
rnacentral:rRNA from 1 species